UACGGAGGGUGCUAGCGUUGUCCGGAUUUAUUGGGCGUAAAGAGCGUGUAGGCGGCCUGGUAGGUCAGCUGUGAAAACUCGAGGCUCAACCUCGAGACGCCGGUUGAAACCAUCAGGCUAGAGUCCGGAAGAGGAGAGUGGAAUUCCCGGUGUAGCGGUGAAAUGCGCAGAUAUCGGGAAGAACACCCGUGGCUAAGGCGGCUCUCUAGUACGGUACUGACGCUGAGACGCGAAAGCGUGGGGAGCGAACAGG
rnacentral:rRNA from 1 species